rnacentral:rRNA from 1 species
CUCAAAGAUUAAGCCAUGCAUGUCUCAGUACAAGCCAAAUUAAGGUGAAACCGCGAAAGGCUCAUUAAAUCAGUUAUGGUUCCUUAGAUCGUACCCACAUUUACUUGGAUAACUGUGGUAAUUCUAGAGCUAAUACAUGCAAACAGAGCUCCGACCGGAGACGGAAGGAGCGCUUUUAUUAGAUCAAAACCAAUCGGUGGCGGGUCUCCCGUCACCGUACACCUUGGUGACUCUGAAUAACUUAUUGCUGAUCGCACGGUCUCGCACCGGCGACGCAUCUUUCAAAUGUCUGCCUUAUCAACUGUCGAUGGUAGGUUCUGCGCCUACCAUGGUUGUAACGGGUAACGGGGAAUCAGGGUUCGAUUCCGGAGAGGGAGCCUGAGAAACGGCUACCACAUCCAAGGAAGGCAGCAGGCGCGCAAAUUACCCACUCCCGGCACGGGGAGGUAGUGACGAAAAAUAACGAUACGGGACUCAUCCGAGGCCCCGUAAUCGGAAUGAGUACACUCUAAACCCUUUAACGAGGAUCAAUUGGAGGGCAAGUCUGGUGCCAGCAGCCGCGGUAAUUCCAGCUCCAAUAGCGUAUAUUAAAGUUGUUGCGGUUAAAAAGCUCGUAGUCGAAUUUGUGUCCCGCGCCGCCGGUUCAUCGCUCGCGGUGUCAACUGGCGUGUCCGCGGGACGUCCUGCCGGUGGGCUUAGCCCCCCGUGGGCGGCCCAAUCUCAAUCCCACCGCGGUGCUCUUCACUGAGUGUCGAGGUGGGCCGGCACGUUUACUUUGAACAAAUUAGAGUGCUUAAAGCAGGCUAAAACAUCGCCUGAAUACUGUGUGCAUGGAAUAAUGGAAUAGGACCUCGGUUCUAUUUUGUUGGUUUUCGGAACCCCGAGGUAAUGAUUAAUAGGAACGGAUGGGGGCAUUCGUAUUGCGACGUUAGAG